AUUGAACGCUGGCGGCGUGCUUAACACAUGCAAGUCGAUCGGUAACAGGUGUAGCAAUACAUGCUGACGAGAGGCGGACGGGUGAGUAAUGCUUGGGAAUCUGCCUAUUAGUGGGGGACGAACCCGGGGAAACGUCGGGCUAAUACCGCAUACGCUCUACGGAGGAAAGCCGGGGACCGCAAGGCCUGGCGCUAAUAGAUGAGCCCAAGUCGGAUUAGCUAGUUGGUAGGGUAACGGCCUACCAAGGCGACAAUCCGUAGCUGGUCUGAGAGGACGACCAGCCACACCGGAACUGAGACACGGUCCGGACUCCUACGGGAGGCAGCAGUGGGGAAUAUUGGACAAUGGGGGCAACCCUGAUCCAGCGACGCCGCGUGGGUGAAGAAGGCCUGCGGGUUGUAAAGCCCUUUCGGUGGGGAAGAAAGUCUCGACCUAAUACGUCGGGACCUUGACGUAACCCACUAAAGAAGCACCGGCUAACUCUGUGCCAGCAGCCGC
rnacentral:rRNA from 1 species